rnacentral:rRNA from 1 species
CCACCAAGGCGACGAUGGGUAGGGGUUCUGAGAGGAAGGUCCCCCACAUUGGAACUGAGACACGGUCCAAACUCCUACGGGAGGCAGCAGUGAGGAAUAUUGGUCAAUGGGCGGGAGCCUGAACCAGCCAAGUAGCGUGAAGGAUGACGGCCCUACGGGUUGUAAACUUCUUUUAUAAGGGAAUAGAGUUCGCCACGCGUGGUGUUUUGUAUGUACCUUAUGAAUAAGCAUCGGCUAAUUCCGUGCCAGCAGCCGCGGUAAUACGGAAGAUGCGAGCGUUAUCCGGAUUUAUUGGGUUUAAAGGGAGCGUAGGCGGGCUUUUAAGUCAGCGGUCAAAUGCCACGGCUCAACCGUGGCCAGCCGUUGAAACUGCAAGCCUUGAGUCUGCACAGGGCACAUGGAAUUCGUGGUGUAGCGGUGAAAUGCUUAGAUAUCACGAAGAACUCCGAUCGCGAAGGCAUUGUGCCGGGGCAGCACUGACGCUGAGGCUCGAAAGUGCGGGUAUCAAACAGGAU